CCAUAUCAGCAGGGUGGAACGUACUCUAGAUUUGAUGGACUUGUUUUGACCCUCAAAUUCUUCAGUCGGCCUUAUACUCUGGAGGAAACCAGAAAACCCUCCAGCUCAGUUCAAGAAUAAGCCUGUGGAAAGUUACUUCUUCAAAAGCAAAAGUAUCUCAUAUCAUCUCUUCUCAUCUUUCUUCUCUUUAUCCUUCAUGCUGCUGGAAGAUGGGGAGAAGGUGAACAAUCAGUCGGAGCUCUGAUUGCUUACCUUGUCUGUCACCUCUUUCAGCAGACCCCCUAGCUCGGCGACUUGGGGGACUCCUACUACAUGGUUUGUAUCGCGCUUGACCAAGCCUGAAACUACAAGUAAGCUUCAAGUGAAAUUGAUACAUUACCUUGUGCAUCUCCACCAGUUAAAGAUACCAC
rnacentral:lncRNA from 1 species